UACGUAGGGGGCAAGCGUUAUCCGGAAUUAUUGGGCGUAAAGAGUACGUAGGUGGCAACCUAAGCGCCGGGUUUAAGGCAAUGGCUCAACCAUUGUUCGCCCUGCGAACUGGGAUGCUUGAGUGCAGGAGAGGAAAGCGGAAUUCCUAGUGUAGCGGUGAAAUGCGUAGAUAUUAGGAGGAACACCAGUGGCGAAGGCGGCUUUCUGGACUGUAACUGACACUGAGGUACGAAAGCGUGGGGAGCAAACAGG
rnacentral:rRNA from 1 species